CUGUCAGUUCUUAGUUACUUUACUUUGUCCUAGUUCGAUGGAAUUUCAAAGCGAUCGAAUCGGCUUACGUCCAUGGAAUCGGUUUACCGUUCAUAACCUUAAAGAGGCAGAAUUGUCAACGGUUGUCAACGUAAUUUUAAGCCUCUUUCAUUCGAUGGCAGUAAUGUAAAUUGCACAUGACAGAACUUCACAUUUUUUUCAACAAGGGAGAAGUCUGAAGUAGUCACUAUCAAUGUUAACCUAAUUGUGGUAACUUAUCGCUUGUUAAAAUGUCAAAGCGUUGGGGCAGCGACUAUGUUGUUACAGAGCAUCGCGACUUGCAGGCAAACACCAUGGCAGUCGAUGCCACUGGUAGUUACGUUCUCUUGGCAGGUCGGCGGUGCUUUGGAGUUAAGCAUCUGGACGAAGAGACAGAUACAUUGAGGAAGUUUCAACGUCAGAGUAAAUACGAAGUUGGUUCUGCCGAGUGGAAUCCAACGUUAGCAAACUGUCACUUAUGUGCGAUAUCUAGCAACACACGAGUGGAAAUACUGAGCCUCGCUGGUGGAGGGAGCUACGAACUUCAAACCACACACAGUUUGCGAGCACAUACAAGGGUUGUUAGCGAUUUGAAUUGGCAUCCUAAAGAGCCUCAUGUAGUAGCUUCGUGCAGUAUCGACACGUUUAUACAUAUUUGGGACCUGAGAGAUCAAAGGAAGCCAUCGUUAUCAUUAUCUGCAGUCGCUGGUGCAUCCCAAGUGCAGUGGAAUAGCCUAUCACCAUAUACUUUGGCUACAGCACAUGAUGGGGAUGUCAAGAUAUGGGAUCAGCGUAAGGGAAACAAUCCUGUACAAUAUAUAGCGGCUCACCUUACAAAGAUCCAUGGGCUCGAUUGGUGUCCAUAUCAACAAAAUCAACUGGCUACAUCUAGUCAGGACUGCACAGUGAAAAUAUUUGACGUUAGUAACCCACGUCGGGCAGAGAAUGUAUUGACGACAAAUUCCCCAGUUUGGAGAGCUCGAUACACACCUUUUGGAGAAGGAUUAGUAACUAUAGUCGUCCCACAACUCCGUCGUGGUGAGAACAGUCUUCUACUUUGGAACACUUCGAAUCUCAGUGCUCCGAUAUACACAUUUGUUGGUCAUACGGAUGUUGUACUUGAGUUUCAAUGGCGUCAUCAGAAAUUAGAUUCCAAUGAUUAUGAAUUAAUCACAUGGUCAAAGGAUCAGUGCCUUAGGAUAUUUAAAAUUGAUCCCUUUCUGAAAAAGUUAUGUGGACAUGACAUUGAUGAUGCUACUUCCAUGUAUGCACAAUAUUCAGAGGAUAAUAAUUUAAGAAGUUUACGAUCAGUCGAAGAACUUGGAAUUCGGAAAUCUCAGAGUGAGAGAGAAAUCCACUGCAUAACCGCCAAAGCUAACAGUUCGGACGGAAAUGCGGAAAUCAAUGUACAGUCCGAUACCGAGAAGGAAACUUCUCCGACACAGCCGAAGACUUUACAGGAGGAAUUUUUGUCGCUCAAUAUAAAUCUACCAAAUGUGGAGGUCAAUGCGGUGGAUAUAACACAGCGAGAGUGUACAGUAACUGUUGGUAGUAAAGAGUACAGUGUGACGUUGAAGAUCAACUUUCCAGAAAACUAUCCUUUUAGUGCUUACCCGACAUUCCAAUUUUGUCCAGGAAGUACAGUGGACAAUGUAACGUUGGCGAAGCUCCUUAAACUUUUGAAGCAAACUGCUCAACAACGUGUCCGGAAAAAUCGCCUUUGCAUGGAAUCUUGUUUAAGACAAUUAAUUACAGCACUGGAACAAACUUCUCGAAGCGACGAACCUGAAAGCAAUAAUAUGGGCUAUCGGAUACAACACAAUACAAAUUUUCUUAGUUCGAACAAUAUAUUUACUAACUAUCAGGAUGCUUACAUUCCGUUUCCUCGAACUUCAGGAAUAAAAUUUUGCUGCGUAGGAACACUCGUUUGUUUCGGUCGAGCUCUGUAUGCCAGAAGAUCCUCCAUUAAAUUUGACGGGGCUACGCCAAGAGCUUUGUCUGCUUUAGGAGCAGGUGUCGGCAAUGGUGGACAUUUUAUGCAAAUGUAUUCGAGCUCUUACGUUCCUUCCAGUGAUAAUAUUUCCAUAAGUUCCUAUUACUUUCAAGAUCGAAAGAACACAAAACGGGGAGUAUAUGGAGCCAAAGGACUGGGCAGCAAAAAUUAUCGUUCCUUAGUGACAACAUAUGAUGUCUCUUCUUUAUUCUUUGUGAGCAAAGAACUGGCUGAACAAUAUCUGGUUAAUGUCACCGAUAUCCCUGCAAUGUGUCAAUACAAUGCGAACGUUGCUGCUUCCUUGGAACGUCCAGACUUGGUUCAAGCUUGGUACCUCGCAGCACUGGUUGUAUCUCAACCUUUAAUAAAUGGGAUACCAGGUUCUUGUCAAUCAUCUGACAUCGACACUCCCUGGCUGUUGCACCCUUUCGGACAAAAUUUAAUGCACUCACUAAUACAACACUAUGCAGGUCAAUCGGAUGUCCAAAUGGCUGGCAUGUUGAGCUGUAUGAUAAGCUAUCGAUCCGAGAAGUCCGAUACUGGUCAGUGUCGAUCCAUCAGCAAGUCAGUCAAUGUUAGCCGGCUUUCGAAUGGAAAACGUUGGUUGAAGCCUGGUGGUUCGCCUUACCACACGAUACAUCCAGCGGACACGACACUCGAAGGUUGGAAUUUUCAAAACCUCAAACCACACCGAUCGAAUUCGUGGUCGGAGUCUUUGGAUGAUCUCAAGAUUUUCUCCGAAAGUAGUGCUGAGCUCGGAAGAAGCAUCAGGAUCAUCGAUGAAAAGAACACAGCCCUGUACGAUGGCUACAAGAAAGCGUAUGCCGAAGUGCUACACAGGUGGCAAUUGUUAGACGCACGUGCUCAGAUUUUAAAACACCUGAGCAUUGCCCCGAUUGAUGCACAUAAAGGCGUGGAAUUUCAAAGCGAAUGCCAUUCCUGCAUAAAAGCCAGCAGAGGACCGCAAUGCAACAAUUGCAAGAGGCUGGCAUUUAAUUGUGUCAUUUGUCACAUUUCGGUUAGAGGUCCAAGUAAUUUUUGUAUUGUCUGUGGGCAUGGUGGACACACGGAACACUUGGCAGACUGGUUUACAAAUGAAACUUCGUGUCCUACGGGUUGUGGGUGCUACUGUCUAGAAGAAACCGUCACACUUUUGAAAAUGUAAAUAUUAAGAUACGAGUGUAUUAUUAAACAACAGCGAAGUAUUAAAAUAAAGACUCCAUUGCUUUCACCGCCAAACCAGAGAGUUCAUGCAACAUUUUCAGAGCUUCUACAUCGGUAAAGAAACAUGGUUGCAGACUUCAAUCGCAGCGCAUGAUCAUGUCAGUAACCUCAGCCUUUGACGUCUUUUAUGAAACACUCCUGUAGAGUUGAGAACAUUCCACGUCGGUAAAGAAAUUUGCAAACAAAUUAUAUAUUACCGUGUCGACUAAUUGAACAUUUGUAUUUAAAGGGAAAAUGUACUACGGAAGGUACAGCUUCAAAAACGCGUACUAUGCUAAUUAUCAGUCUAUCUAGUAUCUAAGGCUUAAAUAAAUUUCCUAUUAAAUCAUUGGAAAGCGUUCGAUACAAGCUAAAUCAUUUCACCGUGCUUAAUGUUUAUAUGGCAGAUUGUGGAAAUGAAAUCAUUCGUUCUUGUGCAUUAUCGCGUACAAUAUUUAGGGUUAAUUAUCCUUUACAGUCUAAUUGAGGUUCCAAAGUCGAUUUUGUAAUUUUCCGGACUUUCUCUACGGCGAAAAAUACUUCAACGACCUUUCAUUGCCAUGCGAUACAGCAUGCUAUCGCUUUUAAUGCUUCUGACAUGAUUCGGUACAUGUCAUUCUGUUAUCAAACGUUAAUAGUAGUCCGUCAGUGUUGCCCGCGACAUCGUCUCUUAUCAGUUCACACGUUCUUGCGUUUUCGACAAUUACAUAAAUAACGGCUUAUCCGGCGUUAUCCGAAAUGUGAGAAAAUAUCCGAUGCGCCAUGAGAGUGCACUUUACGAUCUGCUCUAUCUUCAAUACUUAAUCGAAUACGAUACGAACAAGUACAUCUAGGAGAACUAGAUACCUCGAUAAGCGUGACAAUUACAUAUUUAAGGGGAUGUGAAAAUAACUCUCGAAGGAUCAAUCGUUUGUGCAACUUUUCUCCGAAAUUGAUGCACCGAACCGUUUGACAUUUCGUCACGUGAAUAUGGAGGCCUUUAAAAUUGAAUUCGUUAUGAAAAAAUAGUAAAAAUAUAUGAAUAAAUUGAAACAAAAGAUAAAAAGUGGAAUGUCACCACUUUAAAGCCUCCACAUUCACGGGGUAGAAUUUCAAACGAUUCGACACACCCAGUUCGCAGAAAAAUAACAAAAAAAUACCCCUUAACCUUUCAUGCCACCUUAAUAUAGUCAUAUGAAAUAUGAAAUCUCAUGGGCGGUGGUUCCUCGGAGUCCCCUACAUUCAUGGGGGAGAAUUUCACGCGAGAUUUCAUUGAAGUGCGCCUUGUUAGGAGAAAGGUUUCAUAAACGAGACUUCUCAGACACCACUUUAAGAUCGCCUUAACGAGUACGAAUGGCUUUCGGGUGGGUAUGAGACUGCCGUGAGACUUCAAAGGUUUGUUCGUUUUGCCUACACUUUCUGCACUUUUACGAACUUAUACAUACGUACACUUACGUACACUUUGGCGUUCGUUUUGACGGAAGUGAUGCAGACGCCGCUGUUCGUUUUGCGAGGGCAUCUACCCCGA
rnacentral:misc_RNA from 1 species